rnacentral:rRNA from 1 species
AGCGAACGUUUGCGGCGGGCCUAACACAUGCAAGUCGAACGGGCAGUCCCUUCGGGGGCGUGUCAGUGGCGCACGGGUGGCGUAACACGUAGGUAAUCAACCCUCGGGUUCGGGAUAACACUUCGAAAGGGGUGCUAAUACCGGAUGCGACGAGCGUCUCCUCGGAGAUGCACGGGAAAGAUCCGCAAGGGUCGCCCGAGGACGAGCCUGCGGCCCAUCAGCUUGUUGGUGAGGUAAUGGCUCACCAAGGCUAAGACGGGUAGCUGGUCUGAGAGGAUGAUCAGUCACACUGGAACUGAGACACGGUCCAGACUCCUACGGGAGGCAGCAGUGGGGAAUAUUGCGCAAUGGGCGAAAGCCUGACGCAGCCACGCCGCGUGAGCGAUGAAGGCC